rnacentral:pre_miRNA from 1 species
AACCUUCUGUAUCUGUGCUGAGAUUUCGUCACACCAGACCACAAGGGCUGGUGAGACUUCCAAGGUAAGUGAAGUG